rnacentral:rRNA from 1 species
CACGAAGUUAGCCGGGGCUUCUUCUCACGCUACCGUCAUUAUCGUCGCGUGCGAAAGAGCUUUACAACCCUAAGGCCGUCAUCACUCACGCGGCAUGGCUGGAUCAGGCUUGCGCCCAUUGUCCAAUAUUCCCCACUGCUGCCUCCCGUAGGAGUUUGGGCCGUGUCUCAGUCCCAAUGUGGCUGGCCAUCCUCUCAGACCAGCUAUCGAUCGUCGCCUUGGUGGGCCGUUACCCCACCAACAAGCUAAUCGAACGCGGGCCGCUCCUUCGGCAGUCAAGCCUUUCCCCAAAAGGGCGUAUCCGGUAUUAGCGCCAGUUUCCCGGCGUUGUUCCGAACCAAAGGGUACGUUCCCACGCGUUACUCACCCGUCUGCCACUCCCACCCGAAGAUGAGCGUUCGACUUGCAUGUGUUAAGCCUGCCGCCAGCGUUCGUUCUGAGCCAGGAUCAAACUCU